rnacentral:rRNA from 1 species
GGAUCAAUAUGUUGGUCGUGCCUUGGUACGUACUAGUUUAUUGGUUUCCUCCUUCCUGAUGAACCUUAAUGCCAUUAAUUUGGUGUCUUGGGGAAUCAGGACUGUUACUUUGAAAAAAUUAGAGUGUUUAAAGCAGGCUCACGCUUGAAUACAUUAGCAUGGAAUAAUGAAAUAGGACGUUUGAUUCUAUUUUGUUGGUUUCUAGGAUCGACGUA